GACGAACGCUGGCGGCGUGCUUAACACAUGCAAGUCGAACGGAAAGGCCCUGCUUUUGUGGGGUGCUCGAGUGGCGAACGGGUGAGUAACACGUGAGUAACCUGCCCUUGACUUUGGGAUAACUUCAGGAAACUGGGGCUAAUACCGGAUAGGAGCUCCUGCUGCAUGGUGGGGGUUGGAAAGUUUCGGCGGUUGGGGAUGGACUCGCGGCUUAUCAGCUUGUUGGUGGGGUAGUGACUUACCAAGGCUUUGACGGGUAGCCGGCCUGAGAGGGUGACCGGCCACAUUGGGACUGAGAUACGGACCAGACUCCUACGGGAGGCAGCAGUGGAGAAUAUUGCAAAAUGGGCGGAAGCCUGAUGCAGCAACGCCGCGUGCGGGAUGACGGCCUUCGGGUUGUAAACCGCUUUCGCCUGUGACGAAGCGUGAGUGACGGUAAUGGGUAAAGAAGCACCGGCUAACUACGUG
rnacentral:rRNA from 1 species